AGAGCGAACGCUGGCGGCAGGCCUAAUACAUGCAAGUCGAACGGAUCCUUCGGGAUUAGUAGCGGACGGGUGAGUAACACGUGGGAACGUGCCCUUUGGUUCGGAACAACUCAGGGAAACUUGAGCUAAUACCGAAUGUGCCCUUCGGGGGAAAGAUUUAUCGCCAUUGGAGCGGCCCGCGUCUGAUUAGCUAGUUGGUGGGGUAAAGGCCCACCAAGGCGACGAUCAGUAGCUGGUCUGAGAGGAUGAUCAGCCACACUGGGACUGAGACACGGCCCAGACUCCUACGGGAGGCAGCAGUAGGGAAUCUUGCGCAAUGGGCGAAAGCCUGACGCAGCCAUGCCGCGUGAAUGAUGAAGGUCUUAGGAUUGUAAAAAUUCUUUCAGUCGGGGACGAUAAUGACGGUACCGCAGAAGAAGCCCCGGCUAACUUCGUGCCAGCAGCCGC
rnacentral:rRNA from 1 species